GGCGAUAUGGCCGAGCGGUCUAAGGCGCUAGAAUCAGGACAUUGUCCAAUCUAGUCCGAAAGGGCGUGGGUUCGAAUCCCACUGUCGUCA